UACGUAGGGUGCAAGCGUUAAUCGGAAUUACUGGGCGUAAAGCGUGCGCAGGCGGUUUUGUAAGUCUGUCGUGAAAGCCCCGGGGCUCAACCUGGGAAUUGCAUCUGUGACUGCAUCGCUAGAGUACGGUAGAGGGGAUGGAAUUCCGCGUGUAGCAGUGAAAUUCGUAGAUAUUCGCAAGAACACCAGUGGCGAAGGCGGCUCACUGGCCCGA
rnacentral:rRNA from 1 species